GUCCCAGUAGCUUAACACACCAAAGCCUUGGCCUUGUAAACCAAAAAUGGGGCGCGCGCCCCCUAGGACG
rnacentral:tRNA from 1 species